GGAGAGAUGGUCGAGUGGUUUAAGGCGGCGGUCUUGAAAACCGUUGAGGCGUCAAAACCUCCGGGGGUUCGAAUCCCCCUCUCUCCGCCA
rnacentral:tRNA from 1 species